GAUAUUUUGAUAAGUUCGAAAUAACACCCUUCAAGGCCAAGGGCCUUCUCCAUCAAAAAGUAAAGGUUCGACCUCGAUCGAACGACGACGGGUUAUUAUUUCGAUAAGUUCGAAAUAACACCCUUCAAGGCCAAGGGCCUUCUCCAUCAAAAAAGAAAGGAUCGACCUCGAUCGAACGACGACGGGCUGUUAUUUCGAUAAAUUCGAAAUAACACCCAUCAAGGCCAAGGGCCUUCCCCAUCUAAAAGAAAAAGUUCGACAUCGAUCGAACGACGACUGGCUGAUAUUUUGAUAAGUUCGAAAUAACACCCUUCAAGGCCAAGAGCCUUCUCCGUCAAAAAGUAAAGGUUCGACCUCGAUCGAACGACGACGGGCUAUUAUUUCGAUAAGUUCGAAAUAACACCCUUCAAGGCCAAGGGCCUUCUCCAUCAAAAAAGAAAGGUUCGACCUCGAUAGAGCGA
rnacentral:lncRNA from 1 species